rnacentral:rRNA from 1 species
UACAGAGGGGGCAAGCGUUAUUCGGAAUUAUUGGGCUUAAAGGGCGCGUAGGCGGCUUGGCAGGUGGAAGGUGAAAUCCCUCGGCUUAACCGAGGAACUGCCCUCCAAACUGCUUUGCUUGAGGCCGGGAGAGGUGAGUGGAACUGCGAGUGUAGAGGUGAAAUUCGUAGAUAUUCGCAAGAACACCAGUGGCGAAGGCGGCUCACUGGCCCGAUACUGACGCUGAGGCACGAAAGCGUGGGGAGCAAACAGG